rnacentral:rRNA from 1 species
UACGAAGGGGGCUAGCGUUGCUCGGAAUCACUGGGCGUAAAGGGUGCGUAGGUGGCGCGCUAAGUCAGGUGUGAAAUUUCGGAGCUUAACUCCGAAACUGCAUUUGAUACUGGCAUGCUUGAGGACUGGAGAGGAGACUGGAAUUCACGGUGUAGCAGUGAAAUGCGUAGAGAUUGUGAGGAAGACCAGUGGCGAAGGCGGGUCUCUGGACAGUUCCUGACACUGAGGCACGAAGGCCAGGGGAGCAAACGGG